rnacentral:rRNA from 1 species
GGGGAAUUUUCCGCAAUGGGCGAAAGCCUNACGGAGCAAUACCGCGUGAGGGAUGACGGCCUAUGGGUUGUAAACCUCUUUUUUCAGGGAGGAAUCUAUGACGUGUACNCUGAAGAAUAAGCAUCGGCUAACUCCGUGCCAGCAGCCGCGGUAAGACGGAGGAUGGCAAGUGUUAUCCGGAAUCACUGGGCGUAAAGCGUCUGUAGGUGGUUUAAUAAGUCAACUGUUAAAUCUUGAGGCCUAACCUCAAAAUCGCAGUCGAAACUAUUAGACUAGAGUAUAGUAGGGGUAAAGGGAAUUUCCAGUGGAGCGGUGAAAUGCGUAGAGAUUGGAAAGAACACCGAUGGCGAAGGCACUUUACUGGGCUAUUACUAGACACUCAGAGACGAAAGCUAGGGUAGCAAAUGGGAUUAGAUACCCCAGUAGUC